AAAUUAGAAGUCUCCAGGAGAAACCCUUGGAUUUAGGUGUGAAACUGAAUAAUCACAAGGUCAGGACAUACUGGGUCUUGCGCCCAAAUGUUACAAUCCUCGUGCCAACAAAGCAAUAAAGGAAAACAAAAAGUGGUCGAUGACAAUAAUAAGUCCCACAGAACU